rnacentral:rRNA from 1 species
AUUGAACGCUGGCGGCAGGCCUAACACAUGCAAGUCGAACGAGUGGCGGACGGGUGAGUAAUGUCUGGGAAACUGCCUGAUGGAGGGGGAUAACUACUGGAAACGGUAGCUAAUACCGCAUACCAUCAGAUGUGCCCAGAUGGGAUUAGCUUGUUGGUGGGGUAACGGCUCACAAAGGCGACAAUCCCUAGCUGGUCUGAGAGGAUGACCAGACAAAAUGGAACUGAGACACGGGCCAGACUCCUACGGGAGGCAGGAGUGGGGAAGAUUUGACAAGGGGCGCAAGCCUGAUGCAGCCAUGCCGCGUGUAUGAAGAAGGCCUUCGGGUUGUAAAGUACUUUCAGCGGGGAGGCGUUACCCGCAGAAAAAGCCCCGGCUAACUCCGUGCCAGCAGCCGCGGUAAUAC